UUCUGCGUACUCAAGUGGUUACGAGGUCAGCCUGCUAAGUUGAUGCCCGCAAGGGCGCACGAGUUCGAGUCUCGUCGCAGUCG
rnacentral:tRNA from 1 species